rnacentral:rRNA from 1 species
GCUUGUUGGUGAGGUAAUGGCUCACCAAGGCGACGACGGGUAGCCGGCCUGAGAGGGUGACCGGCCACACUGGGACUGAGACACGGCCCCAGACUCCUACGGGAGGCAGCAGUGGGGAAUAUUGCACAAUGGGCGAAAGCCUGAUGCAGCGACGCCGCGUGAGGGAUGACGGCCUUCGGGGUUGUAAACCUCUUUCAGUAGGGAAGAAGCGAAAGUGACGGUACCUGCAGAAGAAGCGCCGGCUAACUACGUGCCAGCAGCCGCGGUAAUACGUAGGGCGCAAGCGUUAUCCGGAAUUAUUGGGCGUAAAGAGCUCGUAGGCGGUUUGUCGCGUCUAUCGUGAAAGUCCGAGGCUCAACCUCGGAUCUGCGGUGGGUACGGGCAGACUAGAGUGAUGUAGGGGAGACUGGAAUUCCUGGUGUAGCGGUGAAAUGCGCAGAUAUCAGGAGGAACACCGAUGGCGAAGGCAGGUCUCUGGGCAUUAACUGACGCUGAGGAGCGAAAGCAUGGGGAGCGAACAGGAUUAGAUACCCUGGUAGUCCAUGCCGUAAACGUUGGGCACUAGGUGUGGGGGACAUUCCACGUUUUCCGCGCCGUAGCUAACGCAUUAAGUGCCCCGCCUGGGGAGUACGGCCGCAAGGCUAAAACUCAAAGGAAUUGACGGGGGCCCGCACAAGCGGCGGAGCAUGCGGAUUAAUUCGAUGCAACGCGAAGAACCUUACCAAGGCUUGACAUGUGCUAGAUCGCCAUAGAAAUAUGGUUUCCCCUUUGGGGCUGGUUCACAGGUGGUGCAUGGUUGUCGUCAGCUCGUGUCGUGAGAUGUUGGGUUAAGUCCCGCAACGAGCGCAACCCUCGUUCCAUGUUGCCAGCACGUAGUGGUGGGGACUCAUGGGAGACUGCCGGGGUCAACUCGGAGGAAGGUGGGGACGACGUCAAAUCAUCAUGCCCCUUAUGUCUUGGGCUUCACGCAUGCUACAAUGGCCGGUACAAUGGGUUGCGAUACUGUGAGGUGGAGCUAAUC